rnacentral:rRNA from 1 species
UGUACCUACGGGGCGCAGCAGUGAGGAAUAUUGGUCAAUGGGCGGAAGCCUGAACCAGCCCCUUCGCGUUCUGGAAUAAGGCCCUACGGGUCGUAAACCUCUUUUGCCGGGGAGCAAGGGCGGGGACGUGUCCCGGCCCGGAGAGUACCCGGAGAAAAAGCAUCGGCUAACUCCGUGCCAGCAGCCGCGGUAAUACGGAGGAUGCGAGCGUUAUCCGGAUUUAUUGGGUUUAAAGGGUGCGUAGGCGGGCUUUUAAGUCAGCGGUAAAAAUUCGGGGCGCAACCCCGGCCGGCCGUUG